UCUUUCUUUGCUUUUUUAAGU
rnacentral:piRNA from 1 species